UCUUGGGUUGUAAACUCCUUUUCUCUGGGAAGAACAACAUGACGGUACCAGAGGAAUCAGCAUCGGCUAACUCCGUGCCAGCAGCCGCGGUAAGACGGAGGAUGCAAGCGUUAUCCGGAAUGAUUGGGCGUAAAGCGUCCGCAGGUGGCAGUUCAAGUCUGCUGUCAAAGACCGGGGCUYAACCUCGGAAAGGCAGUGGAAACUGAACAGCUAGAGUAUGGUAGGGGCAAAGGGAAUUCCUGGUGUAGCGGUGAAAUGCGUAGAGAUCAGGAAGAACAUCGGUGGCGAAGGCGCUUUGCUGGACCAUAACUGACACU
rnacentral:rRNA from 1 species